UUUAUAUCAUUAUACCGAUGGCGGAAACCUUUAAUUUUUUCAUAAAAUUUUAGUACAAGUUUCUGUUAAUUUUGUUUUAAAAUAUGUGAUCUGAAUCGUUAUGAAAUAUCCAUCACUCAUCUUUUCCAAAUUCAGUUAGACCAUCUCGCUUUGAUUUGAAUUCUAAGUCAGAAUGUAUGGGGUGCGCGGUACGGGUAAGAAGAACAUAAACGCAUCACAACACCAAAGUCUGGGUGAGACGGUGAUGGUGUGAAACGCUUCUUGCUUCAAGCUCUUGUGGUAACAGUGUUAAAAGCAACAACAACAACAGAGAAUAACGCAUCGCGUAGAAACAAACACACCGUUCGUGGGUAUGUCAGGGGGGGAAACAACGGGAAAAGCUCAAUUCUCUCUCAGCGAUGCCGCUUGGGUAGACUGCCGCAACCAAAUCAAGAGAGUGAAUUCUCAUUUCAAUCCGAAAAACUGGGAGAGAGUGAUGACAUGCGAGAGAGAAUAACACUAGAAACACGAGAGAGGACACGAAACGCUUUCGGGUUUUUUUCGCCUUCGCGCACAUUUUGCUUUAUGCGCGCGAAAAAGUGAGCCUUCCCAAGUAGCAGAGCCGAAAUUGUUGAGAGGUUUUUCUGUGUGCCAAAGCGAGAGGCCCUGUCUUCUCUCUCUAGAUUUUGGACGGCAAACCGCCGCGCGUGCAGAGGUGUGUGCGUGUGACGAAAAAUUAUGGAUGAAAUACGGGGCAAGCGGGGUUUGAAGUCUUUCGUUCGUCACACACACAUGCAUUUACCAGCGGAUAACGCUGGACCGAGUCUACCCAUCUCUCUCGAUCCACCAUGAUUUUUCUGCUAUCGCGCUCAUCCGGGUGUUAGGCAUCCUCAGUCUGUCCAGAACUUUCCCUGUGGAAGGAUGUACUGAAGUGAGGUGCGAUUUAUUGUGCGACGUACUUUGUUCAUUUACGUUUUGUGCCGUGUUCCUUCUUCCUCAGUUAUGGAAUGAUUUAUCCUAGCAAAUUGUUGAGGUAAGUUUCUUCCUGUGUGCUUGUGCAGGUACAUUCAACUAACCCUUGGCGUCUAAAAAGUUACAGGUGUGUGCGCUAUUUAUCAACGACUACCUGAUGGCGUCGUCAACAAUCUUCAAAGGAGCGACGGAAAGAAAACAUUUUCCAGUUUUAAAAUAUUAAACCUCCGGUGAGGACGUCAUUACUUAACAGAAGCCGGUUCAACACGCGCAGCUCCUGUUCAUGACGUCAUCACUAAACUCAAGCCAGCUGAACACGCGCAGCACGGAUGGUACCCCGAGCGCGGUAGGAGGAAGGAAGAACGAGAGGAGGAAGAACGGUAAAUUCGGAAGGGGGAAAGCGUUCUGCCGUCUACACAGCGGGAGUAUGCCAAAACACAUGUGGGAAGGGAGAGGGAUAUUAUUCAAUAAACAGCAUGCGAAUGUGUGCAUAAAGCAAAUGUGAACAGCCUCAUCAUUUCUAUAAGCAAUCCGAAAAAGGGGGUGGAGCAAACACAUUGGUAUGCGUGAGCGGCUGAAGAAACCAGAACGUUUAGAUGUGUGCGUGACGGAUGGUUCGGGCGCCUGUGGCGAAGCUCUCGACAAGCCUGCAAACGAGAGCUUUGUGGAGAGCUUUGUAGGGAGCUCAAAUUACACAGGCCGCCGUCGGUUUUUGCGUCCUUGGGUUGAUCAGCGCGAUGGCUCCCAUACAAAGGCCUUCGGCUUUGCUAUCUGGGAAGGAGAAACGCGCUGCGAUGAGAGUUCGCAUUCUGUUUUACACGCGCGCUUCACUAACACCAAUACAAAUACCGUGCUUUGACGAGCCGUCUGUGAAUGUGUGUGUCUUCUUUCAGCGAGCUCAACAACUUGGAUCUGCUCGUCACAUCGUGUUGUCUCGCUUACACUACAGCAUCGAACCAUCGCUCCGUAUGUCCCCCCCUCCUACGCGUGCAAAACCACCAGUACAGCGCGACGCUUUGCCGGAGAUGGUUGUGCGCGUUUCGUUCUAAGUCCCGCGCGCAGUGUUUGUGCGUUGACGCGCAUUUCGUGCGCCGGUGUGUUUUGAUGAAGUGUGAAGUGAACAGUGUGUACAGAUGCACAUGCAGUGCAUGCAUCGACAGGUAAGAAUUUGCUGAACAGAGGCAACGCAGAUUGUCGACAAGUUUCCCGCAGCCUGGCUCCCGGUACUUUACGGUAUGACGCCAUGCGUGAGUAUGAAGGAUUCCAAAUGUGUUGUGAAAGUGUAAUUUAUGUUUCAAUAAAGUGUUUAAUGUAACCAAAAAUGACCGUGUUUGUGUUUGCUUUUAGAAUAAGUGCGCAUUUGCGAUCGUGUCUAUUCAUGAAAGAAAACGAGAAACGAAAGAAACAACUAUCUUUACAUGUGUUCGUAGCAUGGCUCGAAAGAACACAAACACAUUGACAACUGCAGAGCGCACCGUGCGUUACGGGUGGGGAGGGGGAGGGCUCGCGCGAGGGUGUAACUCAUUCCUCCAAGAGUAACUGCUAACGGGGGACGGUACUCAAAUCACUCAAAAAAUACACUCAUUUUGCCGGACGGGUGCCCGUCCGGCAAAAUGAGUGUAUUUUUUGAGUGAUCCCGUUCGGCAAAAUGAGUGAUUUGAGUUUUUUUUGAGUGAUUUGAGUGACGCUGUCGAAAUACAGUCAACUAUUAGGCCAUAUUUAUCUUCGUCAGAAGGAAGUAGUAUCUGCCUAUAUUAUCAAAAUUAGGCUUCCCUAUGAAAUACCUCGUAGAAUCCGGUCCCUUGAUGAAAUUGCGCAAUGGAAAGCUACUGAAUACCGUAUCUUCUUCCAUUAUUUAAGCGUAGUUAUACUAGAAGAUUUUUAUCAAUAUGAAGGUUCAUUUAACCAUUUUUUGAUGUUAUUUUCUGCAAUAACAAUAUUUUCUUCAAGGGCCCAUCAACAAUAUUGGUCUCUGGCAAAAAUAAUGUUGGACGAAUUCUUUAGACACUUUGGGAAAUAUUAUGGACGGUCUAACAUAACCAGCAAUGUUCAUAACCUUCAGCAUGUUGCUCAUGAAGUUGAAAAGCUUGGGCCUCUGGAUUUAUAUUCCGCAUACGAUUAUGAAAAUAAUUUAAGAUUUAUUAAGCAAGACGUAAAAUCAGGCACUAAUAUAGUUGAACAAGUAGCUGGUCGUCUAACCGAACGCAGUCAAGUAGUAAAAGCCAAAAACAUCGCGAAACUUAUAUACCCGAGACUUAGACCAAACGGCCAUUUCUUUAUUACCGAGGAUUUUUCCCUUCACACACAGUUCCAGAAGCAAUGGUUUUUAACUGAAGAAAGUAAUAUUAUUAAAUUUGUAAAAGCAAAGAAAGAUGCUUGUGAUUCCUUUAUAAUUGUUGGCGAUUUAAUCGAAUCAUGUGAGGAACUUUUUAAUGUAGUGUCUGAUGAGGACAAUGUGAUAACAGAUAUACAUUUAUCAUCGACUGAAAUUUGUAUCUACAAAGUUAAGCUUAAUGUUCCUACAAUAAGGGUAGAGGUCCCCUGUACAUCUGUGCUAUGUAAGCUUGUUCCAAUUUUUAAACCAUCGCGGUCUUUAUUGCAAAUGCCUGUAAGGACAACACCCCAGCCAAAUUCAAUAGUUUUAUUUCCUUUGUUACACACGUUUAGGAACGCAUAAUAUGUAAAAUAGUUUAUUAAAAAUUAUUCAACAAAAAAAAGCCAUUUAUUUAUUUACUUAUCGUGAUUUUAACUUUAAUAAAUGACAUGAUUUUUAUUAAUUUAAAAUUUCAGUUAAAUAAAUAACUUUGGUUUUUGCGGCACCGCAUCGAACUCAAAAUAGAAAAGAGCUUAUGGGUACCAACUGUAAAAGUAAACGAACGAACAUGUUUUAAUAGUUCACGUAUAUUCAACUAAACAUUAUUUAUAGAGCCUAGGUCUAUUCCAUCUCUUAUAAAACUAAUAUGUUCCUAACAAAGUAAUAGUCAACAAUACUAAAAUAACUAAACUAGUUCGUUUGUUUUUUGUUUCGCUUGUGCGCUUUAUGCACUACGCUUUUAGUUAUUCCUCUUGUUAAGCUUGCACUUUUUGCAUUACUAAUUUUGUUUUUUAAGAAUUGCUCGACAUCUUUUUCUGUUGUCUGGGCACCUCCUACCCGUUUGAAGACAUUCAGAAUGUUUCGGUAUGCCACUAACGCUACCUUUUCCGAGCCAUUUCGCGAAACACCUCUCCAAUUGCACUGAACCACAAACUGACGACAAAACACAUUGUAAAAUGUGUGGUUGUACGCGUUUCGUUCUAAGUCCCGCGCGCAGUGUUUGUGCGUUGGUGCGCAUUUCGUCAAAGUCUCGUGCGCUGGUGUGUUUUGGUGAAGUGUGAAGUAAAAAAAUAGUGUGUACAGUACAGAGUUCGCAUUCUAUUUUACACGCGCGCUUCACUAACACCAAUACAAAUACCGUGCUUUGACGAGCCGUCUGUGAAUGUGUGUGUCUUCUUUCAGCGAGCUCACCAACUUGGAUCUGCUCGUCACAUCGUGUUGUCUCGCUUACACUAUAGCAUCGAACCAUCGCUCCGUAUGUCCCCCCCUCCUACGCGUGCAAAACCACCAGUACAGCGCGACGCUUUGCCGGAGAUGGUUGUGCGCGUUUCGUUCUAAGUCCCGCGCGCAGUGUUUGUGCGUUGAUGCGCAUUUCGUGCGCCGGUGUGUUUUGAUGAAGUGUGAAGUGAACAGUGUGUACAGAUGCACAUGCAGUGCAUGCAUCGACAGGUAAGAAUUUGCUGAACAGAGGCAACGCAGAUUGUCGACAAGUUUCCCGCAGCCUGGCUCCCGGUACUUUACGGUAUGACGCCAUGCGUGAGUAUGAAGGAUUCCAAAUGUGUUGUGAAAGUGUAAUUUAUGUUUCAAUAAAGUGUUUAAUGUAACCAAAAAUGACCGUGUUUGUGUUUGCUUUUAGAAUAAGUGCGCAUUUGCGAUCGUGUCUAUUCAUGAAAGAAAACGAGAAACGAAAGAAACAACUAUCUUUACAUGUGUUCGUAGCAUGGCUCGAAAGAACACAAACACAUUGAGAACUGCAGAGCGCACCGUGCGUUACGGGUGGGGUGGGGGAGGGCUCGCGUGAGUGGGUAACUCAUUGUCUCCGUUGUCUCCUGUUGCGCGGCUGCUGGGGGACAAUGCAAUUGCGCAGCGAUAGCCCUGGAAAACAGCAAGGACAUACAUACAUUAAAGAACAUAAUUACUGACGUCAUAAUACAAAAUGAGACGAUAAUCAAGUGGCAACAACAAAACCAACCAAAUGUACCUCAGCAAGAAACACCCGAACAACAACAAGUAACGGAAGCCGACGAGGAAAUUAUCCCCUUGAUAGCUACUAAGAAAGAGUUGGAUGAUCUGCAGCAGAAUUUAGCUAUGGAGGAUUAUUUUAAUGAUAUGAAAGGCUAAAGCUGGAGGCUAAAAUAAAGGCCACAAUAACGAAGGCACGACUUCAUGAUGCCUUAUAUCUGGUUGAUGCCUUAUAUCAUGAUGCCUUAUAUCAUGGUAUAUAGGUUGUUUCUAAUACAAUGUAGUUGGAGUGGAAGAGGAGGCAAAAUAGCUUUUCGGAAGUGCGAUCAGCUGUUGCGGCUAUUUGGUCGCAUAGGUGAUGUCGGUGAAAAAAACGUUGAGAAAGCAUUCCUUGAGAAAUUUAUUCAAGGAAAACUUCAGAAUGCAAAAAACAGUUCAACUAUAUCUGGUGUGAUUAAAAGCGUGACUCGUGGUUCAUUCACACGGAAGCCCAAAGGACGGCGUAACAAAAAAAUUAAAAAUAUAGUUCGUUCAGACAAGUUUGUUUUUUAUAUCACCACACAGUGAUUGGCUGUGACGUUAUGAACUAUGAAUUAAUAUGAAUAAACCAAUGAAUUACUUUAUGCAACA